GGGGGAGGCAGGUGGAGGGCCUGGCUUCUCUCUCUUGUUUAUCUGUACACCAGCGUCUGAGGGGGGGCACACGAUGGAAGGAGCAGGAUGCAAGCUCCAGGGCUCCUUCUCGUCCUGAUGGCCCUGCAUGCUGAAGGAGAAAGGGCAAGACGUGAGCACCAAGACAGACUGGGCAUGUUUCUGGAUGUUUGUUGAAGAAGGAUGUGAAGUCAAGGAGAGGACGUGACAGGGACAGGGACUGAAAGGCAUCAGAUUUGCUUCCAUCUAAACCCGCUUGAGCAGCCUGAAGGAGUUGUGACCACAGGCACAGAACAGGAGAGGACAGCAAAUGGAGAGUGGGCUCCUGGCGCUCUCCUGCACAGGGCAGCUGCACCACAGCCAGUCCCAAUGCUCACCGUGUUCAGGCAUUUGGUUUCAAACAUCAUCACCUGUGAAGCAGCUUCUCCCAAGAGCAGGCUGAGGUUCCUCCCCCAUUCAGUGGAAUCACUGAAGAUCCACAUGGAGUUACACUUCUAAGUCAACAACAGGCAGAGAUUCAGUAAGGCAUUUAGACUCCAUGUAGUAGGACGUGAUAUCCUGAACAUCUUUUCCAGUCUGAAUCUUAGAAUUCAGAACAUCAAGACCUAGCCUACACAAGAGAAACAAAGUGAACAUUUCUGUGGAUAAGUUAACAGACCCUGGCACCAUCAGGAAAACCAGCAUUGUGUAGAAUGAAAGUGACAUGCGUUAGAUAACAUAAACAAAGAUUCACUCUUUGAACCAUAAGUCAUCACAAAAGUCCCAAAUCAAAACUGGAAGGGACCUUCUUAGAUCACCUGGUUCAACCUCCUUAAGCAGCCUGCUCAGCAGUGUGUCCAGAUGGAGCUGAGUAUCUUCACAGACAGAAGCUCUACAGCCUCUCCCCAACAAGAACAGUAAGUACCUCCUUGUGUAAGGUACUUACUUGUGGGAUGGAAUUUCAUGUGCUUCAGUUUGUGCACAUUGUCUCUUGUCCUGUCACCAGGCUCAGCAGGACAUCCUGCUGAUAGCACCAGCUACAAAACAGGAAUUAUCCCACAUUUCCUUCUAAAAAUGUAGAAACUUAUUCACCUUUAUCAGGAGUUUCAUUGUUUAUACUAAAUUAGGAUUCAGGGCCCCAUGUAAUACCAGUUCUCCCUUGGAUACUAUUAUCAGCAAAUUUCUGAAAAGAAGGACAACUGAUCAAAAAAUUUUUGUAUUCCCUAAAGCAGUAUACCUUAGAAAAAGGAACAAAUACUAAAAUGGUCAACAGAAACAGAUGUAGGUAACAUCAGUAAGAUUUCUUAGUUUCUCCAGCCAGAUAUAUGCAGGUUGUCACCCAUAUGAAUUAAUGAUCAUUUGCUCUCAGCUAGUAUUUUCAACAAAGAAAAGGUUGGGUCCUGACCUAGAACAAUCAGCAACAGCAGUAGUAGAUAAAGUGUAACUUGGAAUGGAUAAACCAUUUGUCUUCAUUAAAUAAAAUGAACGGGACUUUAGGUGUCUUUGAAAAGUAGUGAAAAUACAUUAAAUAGGGAUGUUGCAGAAGACAAAGUAAAACUAAGAAACAAAAUCAAUCAAUAUAUUAAAUAUGGAGAAAUUACUCCAGCAUGAUGGUUAUCUAUGGGAUGCAAAAGGAGCACCUAAGCACGUACACUGGAUGGGUCAGACGUUCAGGAUGUUACAGAAAUUAAUCUGCAAGUGAAGGCUUGGGUGAAAGUUUCAGCAGUGUAGACUGGAAAGAGUGGCCUGUCUCCCUGAGACACAUCAGAGAGCCACCCCAGAGAGACCAAGGGGAAGGACAAAUGAAAAACACAGUAAAGCUUGAAGGAAGGUUUUGGCAAGGUAUUUUUUGAAACCUCUCUAGCCAUGGAGAGUAAGACUCUUCUGUUUAAGAAAUUGUGCUGAGUACUGGAUCCGACCAGAGGCAACCUGUGCUAAAGCCAUGGGCAGAAAGUUUAUCUCUAAAUUUGGGCUCCUUUUCAUCAGAGAAAAAGAAAGCCUUUCUUGUGGAGGUCAUGUAGUCACACAGGUUUGCAAGAGGUCCUUCCAUUUGGGAUUGCCUGUAGACAUAAUAAUUUUUUUCUGACCCCUGUUAUCCAAAAGCCAUAUUCUAUGCAUGCAAUGCCAGGUAGAAAAUUUUAGUGAGAUCUCUAGAGAUAAUCAGGGACUAGCAACAGUAUAUCCUUCUUUCCUCUAUUAAUUGGAGCCUAAAUGACCAUAGAUUUCAAAAAUCCUAUGUGAGGAUCAUGGAUACUAUAUACCAGGUCAUAGUGGUCAGUAUCUAGAGAGGAGAAUUUUUUCUACUUUCCAUAUUCAGUACUCUCCAGUACUGGCUUCUGCCACCCAUUAUGGCUAUUUAGGCUUUCCAAGCAAACCCUCUGAACAACAUGUUUCAGGGAUAUAUAUCUUUAGCUGGUUUCCAGCUGAUAUCAAUGAUAUGUAGGUUAGACCCUUGUUUGCUCUACUGUGGAAUUUACCAGAAUGGGUCCACUGUGUUCACACAUAGAUGAAAACUGAGCAACAUCUAAAAGCCAAAAUAUACCACUAUGGUACAGGCAGCAGUUCUGAAACUACAGGUCACAACAAUUUUCUUUCUUUUUUUUUUAUUUAUUUUUUUUUUAAAUCCCAUUGACCACAGCUACAGUCUGUGCAACUGUGUGUGAGACAGGCUAUCCUUAUUUUCAAAACUGAUUCCAUCCCCUCUACUACCAUGUCUUGGAAGUUUGUUGCUCUAAAAGUUCCAUAUAAUUAUCUACAAAUCACUAAUAAAUCCAUAAAAUGCAACUUUUUUUUCCCCCCCACCACCACAACACAAAAACACUGUGGUGCUUAUUCUCAUUUACACUCAAAGGAUCCACCUGUAAGCAAUAGAUAAAGCAUGUAAUAAUAAAGGCCUUCUUUUAACAGUUUAAUUUCUAAAAAUUAAGCACUGGAAAGAUAACAGCUUGUCCAUGUAGAAGCCAACCUACUGUUCCUUUUGACAGAUCUGUGCUGUCACCCUCUUACUGCCUUUACUCCGUGGUCAAGAAUUUGCUAUAAAUUAUUUUUGGCGGGUGGGGGAGAAAAAAAGAGAAUUAAUUUUAUGCAAGCGAUGGUUCAAAUUGUACUAGAAUAUGGAGAGGGGAGCCUGGAACUUAUUCCCCUUUUUGUAAAAUUACCUGUGGCUGAUAAGCUGAAAGCAGAGCAACCUUGUGUCCCCAAGUGACUUUAGUCUGAUACGCCAGUGCCACCUCUGCUGUGACCGGAGCCAUGAGCUCCAACUGAGGCAAUGCAAACUGAGACGAUAAAAACUCCUUCACACAUGAAAAUUUGCCAGCACAGGUAAAUAAAAAUAUUUUGACCAAGUUUAGUCGUGAGGAAAAAUGACUUUGAAAGACGUUGAGGCAGAUAAUGAGGUGGUAAUGAAUGCAGAGCUGCCCUUGGAAUUCCACUCCAGCACACCGGGGGUGAGCACGGGCGGGAUGCGGAGCUGGGUCUCUGCGCUCCUGCCAUGCAUCACUGAGGCCAUACACAGCAUGGCCUCAAGCUGAUUAUUGCUGCUCUCCAAGAGGUUGUCAAAAUAUGUAAACUGUCAGCAGGAGACACACUUUUAAUAAAACUGCCUAUUCUCCAGUGAUAUUUUUCAGUUAUGAAAAGAGCAUCAUUUCAUAUAACAUGUGCAUGUGAGCAAGAGAGCAUGUAAAAGAGUGCAGCAGCAUUCCCAGAAAACAGCAUUUUCAUUACAAGUAGGCAAAUUGGAUGUUCAUGUGGACUAACAUGCUCCAUGCUGUCUGUUACACGACAAUGAAAUGAUUUAUUGUGAACUGACAAAUGCACUGUAUUUGCUAUGUGGGUCUGAUGUUUCAUACUGUCAGCCAGUCCCCCAAUUUUUUCAAUACACAUCUGAACUCAUUGUUUUGGGUGAGAACAUACAAUCCCAAUUCAGUAUUUCUGUGUGCAAGUGUGAGAGAGAAUGGAUGAGACUGCAAUAUCAAUGUUUUAAUGUAUCCAGUUAUAACAUUCAGUGUGCCCCAGAACUCUGUAGAAUCACUUGACAUCAUCUCCUGUCUUUAAGAGAAGAGAUGUAAAUGGAGCCCAGCUGGUCUGCAAUGCCUGUGAAAAUAAUCUCUAGAGAUGUAAGGAUAGAGCUGAUACAAACAUGUCUUUUAUGGCCUAUGUCCCAUUUCAAAACCAAAAAGGCAUUUUUAACAAAUACAAAUUUCAGAUUAUUUCUCUGAGUUCGACAGAUUUCUCAGUGGCUUUAAGAAUCACAGUCACUGCUCAGGGUAGAGGAACAGGAGCUAAAGAGAGGUUGUAGAAGGGGAUGAUGUCUGCCUCCUUUUAAGCAAAGAUCAAGUACCACCUGCCCUCCAUUUGCAGAGAAGGAAUAUAAAUGCAGGUGAGUGCAUGGGAGAAAUUACAAUAAGAGGUCUAAUGUUAACACAGCAGUUCUGCAUGGGUGUGGUAAAGGAAGCUAGAAGCUCUUUUUCUAAGUCUCUUGAAUUGCAGCACUUCAGUUCCAGAGCCUAGCAUGAGUUGUAGUGACUUGUGUGUACAGUCAUUUAAUCCAGGAUAGCAAAUAUACAGUGACCUUUACCAAUAAACAGUUUUUCUCCCUUUAUGGUGUGUCUUAUCAAAAGCAUCUUGGAGACAGCUAAAUACAGAAGAGUUUUUUGGAUACUGCAGUCUAUUAACAUGGCCUCUUUUUAUUGCGUUCUCCUACCUCCCAUGGUCACACAUUCAAUAACAGUGCCCACACUUCCUUAACUAAGCUCCAUUUUUAAAAUCCUCUGAUAAAUGAUCUUAUUUGAAGACAGGCUUUCCAUUGCAUUGAUCAGUGCUAGCGGGAAAAAUAACAGUAGCCUUUCCAAGGAAGACAAAGUGAAAAUGGAAAACAGGACUGACUGCCCAUUGCAUCUUUCACAAAUCUAAGAUAGCUGGGAUAUUUGAACUUGCAGGUUUGGUUUCUUAGCACAGUUUAUCUAGGGUUUAAUUUCAGAGUCUUUGUCUCUGCCAUUAACUUGUCUUUCUUAUUUACUCUACAUUUGUUCAUCAUUCUGCUCUAAAGUAUUCUCCACCUAUCCUGCAUUUGCUCGUUGCAUAGGUUUUCUUCCCUGCAUUGCUACCAAUGCCAUAGAAUUAGCAAAACUCCAUUUACUUUUUCUUUACUAUAAGAUAGAAUUAAAAUAAUGUAGAGAAAUAAGCUGACAGCAAGGGAAAUUUUAUUUAAAGGGGAAAAGUUUUUCUAAAGUGACACUGUCAAAAACAAAUA